rnacentral:rRNA from 1 species
CAGCAGCCGCGGUAAUACGUAGGUGGCAAGCGUUGUCCGGAAUUAUUGGGCGUAAAGCGCGCGCAGGCGGAUCAGUUAGUCUGUCUUAAAAGUUCGGGGCUUAACCCCGUGAGGGGAUGGAAACUGCUGAUCUAGAGUAUCGGAGAGGAAAGUGGAAUUCCUAGUGUAGCGGUGAAAUGCGUAGAUAUUAGGAAGAACACCAGUGGCGAAGGCGACUUUCUGGACGAAAACUGACGCUGAGGCGCGAAAGCCAGGGGAGCGAACGGGAUUAGAUACCCCUGUAGUCCCUGUCUCUUAUACA